CCUACGGGUGGCAGCAGUGAGGAAUAUUGGUCAAUGGACGAGAGUCUGAACCAGCCAAGUAGCGUGAAGGAUGACUGCCCUAUGGGUUGUAAACUUCUUUUAUAUAGGAAUAAAACGGGGUACGCGUACCUUUUUGUAUGUACUUUAUGAAUAAGGAUCGGCUAACUCCGUGCCAGCAGCCGCGGUAAUACGGAGGAUCCGAGCGUUAUCCGGAUUUAUUGGGUUUAAAGGGAGCGUAGGUGGUUUGUUAAGUCAGUUGUGAAAGUUUGCGGCUCAACCGUAAAAUUGCAGUUGAAACUGGCAGUCUUGAGUACAGUAGAGGUAGGCGGAAUUCGUGGUGUAGCGGUGAAAUGCUUAGAUAUCACGAAGAACCCCGAUUGCGAAGGCAGCUUACUAGACUGUAACUGACAUUGAUGCUCGAAAGUGUGGGUAUCAAACAGGAUUAGAUACCCGUGUAGUC
rnacentral:rRNA from 1 species